UUUUUUAAUGGCCGCGGUAUAUUAACUGUGCAAAGGUAGCAUAAUCAUUAGUUUAUUAAUUGUUAACUUGUAUGAAUGGUUUGACGAAAUAUUGUCUGUCUCAAUUAUUUAAUUAGAAUUUAAUUUUUUAGUUAAAAAGCUUAAAUUUAAUUAAGGGACGAGAAGACCCUAUAGAUCUUUAUUAAUUAAUUUAUAUUAUAUUUUAGUUUAUUUUUAGUUUAUUAGUUAAUUUUUUUUGUUGGGGUGACAUUGAAAUAUAAUAAACUUUUUAUUUUUUAAUUCAUUGAUUUAUGUUUAUAUGAUCUUUUAUUAUGGUUUAUAAGAUAAGAUACCUUAGGGAUAACAGCGUAAUUUUUUUUGAGAGUUCUUAUCGACAAUUAAGUUUGCGACCUCGAUGUUGGAUUAUGAAUAUAAAUUGGUGUAGAUGUUAAUUUGUUAGGUCUGUUCGACCUUUAAAUUCUUACAUGAUCUGAGUCAAA
rnacentral:rRNA from 1 species